ACGAUGACCUACAAAAGUGUUUUGACGACAACAAAGAUGACUGCGAAGAUGAGUUUUUCUUAAACAAGGUUAUGAGAGGACCUGAGGCGUUAAAUUUCAUUUGUUCGGCAGAGGGCAAAGAAGGGCUAGAUUCCAUCUCAGACUCUCCGUGUGUCAACGAUCAAACUACUCUCUUGUCAGCC
rnacentral:sRNA from 1 species